rnacentral:rRNA from 1 species
GAUAGGUCACGAUUUCUGGAAUGGAUCAUGGCCUAAAUCUACAUGGCCCCUGGAUUGGACUGCGGCCGAUCAGGCAGUUGGUGAGGUAAUGGCCCACCAAACCUAUAACCGGUACGGGCUCUGAGAGGAGAAGCCCGGAGAUGGGCACUGAGACAAGGGCCCAGGCCCUAUGGGGCGCAGCAGGCGCGAAACCUCUGCAAUAGGCGAAAGCCUGACAGGGUUACUCUGAGUGAUUUCCGCUAAGGGGAUCUUUUGGCACCUCUAAAAAUGGUGCAGAAUAAGGGGUGGGCAAGUCUGGUGUCAGCCGCCGCGGUAAUACCAGCACCCCGAGUGGUCGGGACGAUUAUUGGGCCUAAAGCAUCCGUAGCCGGUUCUGCAAGUCUUCCGUUAAAUCCAGCCGCUCAACGGAUGGGCCGCGGAGGAUACUACAGGACUAGGAGGCGGGAGAGGCAAGCGGUACUCAGUGGGUAGGGGUAAAAUCCUUUGAUCCAUUGAAGACCACCAGUGGCGAAGGCGGCUUGCCAGAACGCGCUCGACGGUGAGGGAUGAAAGCUGGGGGAGCAAACCGGAUUAGAUACCCGGGUAGUCCCAGCUGUAAACGAUGCAG